GGCGAGUGAAGCGGCAAUAGCUCAAAUUUGAAAGCUGGCCUUCUGGUCCGCAUUGUAAUUUGUAGAGGAUGCUUUUAGGCAGCCGCCGGUCUAAGUUCCUUGGAACAGGACGUCAUAGAGGGUGAGAAUCCCGUAUGUGACCGGCUCUGGCACCUUCUGUAAAGCUCCUUCGACGAGUCGAGUUGUUUGGGAAUGCAGCUCUAAAUGGGAGGUAAAUUUCUUCUAAAGCUAAAUACUGGCGAGAGACCGAUAGCGCACAAGUAGAGUGAUCGAAAGAUGAAAAGCACUUUGGAAAGAGAGUUAAAAAGCACGUGAAAUUGUUGAAAGGGAAGCGCUUGCAAUCAGACUUGGCUUCGGUUGUUCAACAGGUCUUCUGACCUGCCUAUUCAAUCGUUGCCAGGCCAGCAUCAGUUUCGGCGGCCGGAUAAAGGCCCUGGGAAUGUGGCUGUUCCUUCGGGGACAGUGUUAUAGCCCAGGGUGUAAUACGGCCAGCUGGGACUGAGGUCCGCGCUUCGGCUAGGAUGCUGGCGUAAUGGUUGUAAGCGGCCCG
rnacentral:rRNA from 1 species